rnacentral:rRNA from 1 species
AGGUGGGGAUAACGUAGCGAAAGUUACGCUAAUACCGCAUAUUCUGUGAGCAGGAAAGCAGGGGAUCGCAAGACCUUGCGCUGAUUGAGCGGCCGAUAUCAGAUUAGCUAGUUGGUGAGGUAAAGGCUCACCAAGGCGACGAUCUGUAGCGGGUCUGAGAGGAUGAUCCGCCACACUGGAACUGAGACACGGUCCAGACUCCUACGGGAGGCAGCAGUGGGGAAUUUUGGACAAUGGGCGCAAGCCUGAUCCAGCCAUGCCGCGUGAGUGAAGAAGGCCUUCGGGUUGUAAAGCUCUUUCGGCCGGGAAGAAAUCGCACAGGUUAAUACCCUGUGUGGAUGACGGUACCGGAAUAAGAAGCACCGGCUAACUACGUG